UGAAGUCGGAAUCGCUAGUAAUCGUGGAUCAGAAUGCCACGGUGAAUACGUUCCCGGGCCUUGUACACACCGCCCGUCACACCAUGGGAGUGGGUUGCAAAAGAAGUAGGUAGCUUAACCUUCGGGAAGGCGCUUACCACUUUGUGAUUCAUGACUGGGGUGAAGUCGUAACAAGGUAACCGUAGGGGAACCUGCGGUUGGAUCACCUCCUUA
rnacentral:rRNA from 1 species